CCCAGCACACACCUCCUAUAGCAAAAAUCUCUCUUAAAAAAAAAAAAAGAUGGGUCCAGCCUCUGGGCAUGAGUCCUCAUCACUCCUUCCCCCGCCCCAGGCUUGUCUCUAGGCUUGCCUGCCUGGACUCUGAAUCCAUGGAUCCCAUUGGCUGCCCUGAGCCCUCCUGUGCCUGCUCCGCCUGGCUCCGGGGUCCUGCCUCCCACAGCCUGCUGGCCAGCACCUGCUGCACCACUUCUGUCUCUGCAGUCUGUCCUGCUUAUCUGAGCCUGCACCCCCAGGCCCUCCUCGUCACACCUGUGUCAGGUUCCCUACUGUGGCUCUGCCUUCCCACCAGCGCUCGGCUCACCUCUGGCCAAGGCCUUACUUUAAAGCAGCCAGCCUCCAUCUUACCCCCACUCGGUCAGGACGCAGUGACCAGCGCCAUCUUCAAGAGCCGGCAGAGCUGAGUGGCAGGUGCAUUGGUUCGGGUUUGGUGGAGUGUUCUUUGUGCGGCCUGCUGUCACUUCCAUGUCCUGUGGUUACUGCUAGCUGGAGGAGUCCGACCCCCACCAUUCCCAGUAAUCACAAGGUGGCUGCUGCAC